GGAGGGGUGCUAGAGUGGUAAUAGAGCGGAUUGCUAAUCCGUGAACUUUAUAAGAGUUCCCAGGGUUCGAAUCCCUGUCCCUCCGCCA
rnacentral:tRNA from 1 species